UGGAUCCAGACUUUGAUUAUGGCUCAGGAUGAACGCUAGCUACAGGCUUAACACAUGCAAGUCGAGGGGAAACGACAUCGAAAGCUUGCUUUUGAUGGGCGUCGACCGGCGCACGGGUGAGUAACGCGUAUCCAACCUGCCCACCACUUGGGGAUAACCUUGCGAAAGUAAGACUAAUACCCAAUGACGUCUCUAGAAGACAUCUGAAAGAGAUUAAAGAUUUAUCGGUGAUGGAUGGGGAUGCGUCUGAUUAGCUUGUUGGCGGGGUAACGGCCCACCAAGGCGACGAUCAGUAGGGGUUCUGAGAGGAAGGUCCCCCACAUUGGAACUGAGACACGGUCCAAACUCCUACGGGAGGCAGCAGUGAGGAAUAUUGGUCAAUGGACGAGAGUCUGAACCAGCCAAGUAGCGUGCAGGAAGACGGCCCUAUGGGUUGUAAACUGCUUUUAUAAGGGAAUAAAGUGAGAGUCGUGACUCUUUUUGCAUGUACCUUAUGAAUAAGGACCGGCUAAUUCCGUGCCAGCAGCCGCGGUAAUACGGAAGGUCCGGGCGUUAUCCGGAUUUAUUGGGUUUAAAGGGAGCGUAGGCCGGAGAUUAAGCGUGUUGUGAAAUGUAGGCGCUCAACGUCUGCACUGCAGCGCGAACUGGUUUCCUUGAGUACGCACAAAGUGGGCGGAAUUCGUGGUGUAGCGGUGAAAUGCUUAGAUAUCACGAAGAACUCCGAUUGCGAAGGCAGCUCACUGGAGCGCAACUGACGCUGAAGCUCGAAAGCGCGGGUAUCGAACAGGAUUAGAUACCCUGGUAGUCCGCACGGUAAACGAUGGAUGCCCGCUGUUGGUCUGAAUAGGUCAGCGGCCAAGCGAAAGCAUUAAGCAUCCCACCUGGGGAGUACGCCGGCAACGGUGCAACUCAAAGGAAUUGACGGA
rnacentral:rRNA from 1 species